rnacentral:rRNA from 1 species
CGGGUGAGUAACGCGUGGGCAACCUACCCUUCGGUGGGGGAUAACCACUCGAAAGAGUGGCUAAUACCGCAUCCGACGAGAGGACCGCGAGGUCUUCUGGUGAAAGCGGCGCAAGUCGCGCCGAAGGAUGGGCCCGCGUACCAUUAGCUAGUUGGUGGGGUAAUGGCCUACCAAGGCGACGAUGGUUAGCUGGUCUGAGAGGAUGAUCAGCCACACUGGAACUGAGACACGGUCCAG